GAUGAACGCUGGCGGCGUGCCUAACACAUGCAAGUUGAGCGAGGGUUUGCUCAGUAUUGAGUAUUCUAAGACUAGAAUGUUCAAUUCUGAGCAAAACCAAGCGGCGGACGGGUGAGUAACGCGUGGGUAACCUGCCCUAUACACAUGGAUAACAUACUGAAAAGUUUACUAAUACAUGAUAAUAUAUAUUUGCGGCAUCGUAGAUAUAUCAAAGUGUUAGCGGUAUAGGAUGGACCCGCGUCUGAUUAGCUGGUUGGUGAGAUAACUGCCCACCAAGGCGACGAUCAGUAGCCGACCUGAGAGGGUGAUCGGCCACAUUGGAACUGAGACACGGUCCAAACUCCUACGGGAGGCAGCAGUGGGGAAUAUUGCACAAUGGGCGAAAGCCUGAUGCAGCAACGCCGCGUGAACGAUGAAGGUCUUCGGAUCGUAAAGUUCUGCUGCAGGGGAAGAUAAUGACGGUACCCUGUGAGGAAGCCCCGGCUAACUACGUGCCAGCAGCCGCGGUAAUACGUAGGGGGCUAGCGUUAUCCGGAUUUACUGGGCGUAAAGGGUGCGUAGGUGGUCCUUCAAGUCGGUGGUUAAAGGCUACGGCUCAACCGUAGUAAGCCGCCGAAACUGGAGGACUUGAGCGCAGGAGAGGAAAGUGGAAUUCCCAGUGUAGCGGUGAAAUGCGUAGAUAUUGGGAGGAACACCAGUAGCGAAGGCGGCUUUCUGGACUGCAACUGACACUGAGGCACGAAAGCGUGGGUAGCAAACAGG
rnacentral:rRNA from 1 species